rnacentral:rRNA from 1 species
CCCUUAGAGUUUGAUCCUGGCUCAGGAUGAACGCUAGCGGCAGGCUUAAUACAUGCAAGUCGAGGGGCAGCAGGACUGUAGCAAUACAGUUGCUGGCGACCGGCAAACGGGUGCGGAACACGUACGCAACCUACCCAAAACUGGGGAAUAGCCCGGGGAAACCCGGAUUAAUACCUCGUAACAUUAUGGUGUGGCAUCACAUUAUAAUUAUAGCUCCGGCGGUUUUGGAUGGGCGUGCGCCUGAUUAGGUAGUUGGCGGGGUAACGGCCCACCAAGCCUGCGAUCAGUAACUGGUGUGAGAGCACGACCAGUCACACGGGCACUGAGACACGGGCCCGACUCCUACGGGAGGCAGCAGUAAGGAAUAUUGGUCAAUGGACGCAAGUCUGAACCAGCCAUGCCGCGUGAAGGAUGAAGGUCCUCUGGAUUGUAAACUUCUUUUAUAUGGGACGAAACCUCUUAUUCUUAAGAGACUGACGGUACCAUAGGAAUAAGCACCGGCUAACUCCGUGCCAGCAGCCGCGGUAAUACGGAGGGUGCAAGCGUUAUCCGGAUUCACUGGGUUUAAAGGGUGCGUAGGAGGGCAGGUAAGUCAGUGGUGAAAUCUUCGAGCUUAACUCGGAAACUGCCGUUGAUACUAUCUGUCUUGAAUACCGUGGAGAUGAGCGGAAUAUGUCAUGUAGCGGUGAAAUGCUUAGAUAUGACAUAGAACACCAAUUGCGAAGGCAGCUCGUUACACGAAUAUUGACUCUGAGGCACGAAAGCGUGGGGGAUCAAACAGGAUUAGA